rnacentral:rRNA from 1 species
GCUCAACCUCGGGCGUGCGGUGGGUACGGGCAGGCUAGAGUGUGGUAGGGGAGACUGGAACUCCUGGUGUAGCGGUGAAAUGCGCAGAUAUCAGGAAGAACACCGAUGGCGAAGGCAGGUCUCUGGGCCAUUACUGACACUGAGGAGCGAAAGCAUGGGUAGCGAACAGGAUUAGAUACCCUGGUAGUCCAUGCCGUAAACGUUGGGCACUAGAUGUGGGGGACAUUCCACGUUUUCCGCGUCGUAGCUAACGCAUUAAGUGCCCCGCCUGGGGAGUACGGCCGCAAGGCUAAAACUCAAAGGAAUUGACGGGGGCCCGCACAAGCGGCGGAGCAUGCUGAUUAAUUCGAUGCAACGCGAAGAACCUUACCAAGGCUUGACAUGCACCGGACGAUCCCAGAGAUGGGGUUUUCUUCGGACUGGUGCACAGGUGGUGCAUGGUUGUCGUCAGCUCGUGUCGUGAGAUGUUGGGUUAAGUCCCGCAACGAGCGCAACCCUUGUUCUAUGUUGCCAGCACGUGAUGGUGGGGACUCAUAGGAGACUGCCGGGGUCAACUCGGAGGAAGGUGGGGACGACGUCAAAUCAUCAUGCCCCUUAUGUCUUGGGCUUCAAGCAUGCUACAAUGGUCGGUACAAUG